CGCCCAACUUGGAGGGAAUUUGUCAAAGUAUCUUAAGGAAAUGCGGGGGACUGCCCCUUGCAAUUGUGGCAAUCAGUGCUGUUCUGGCUACAAAAGACAAGAGAAACAUAGAGGAAUGGGCUGCCGUUUCUGGAAGCAUUGGUGCUCAAAUUGAGGAAAAUGGCCAACUUGAUAACAUGAAAAAGUUGUUGUACCUCAGUUUCAGUGACUUACCAUACCAUCUCAAGUCUUGUUUCUUGUAUCUAAGUAUCUUUCCCGACCUCUAUCAAAUCGACCAUAUGAGAUUAAUUCGAUUAUGGAUGGCUGAAGGAUUUGUUAUUGAAAGGGAAGGAAAGACACCAGAAGAAGUUGCUGAGAGUUACCUGAAGGAGCUAUUGGACAGAAGUUUGAUCCAAGCAGCAGAAAUAGCAACUGACGGGAGGGUCAAAUCAUGCCGGAUCCAUGAUCUUUUACGGGAGAUUA
rnacentral:lncRNA from 1 species